rnacentral:lncRNA from 1 species
AGGCUCACGGACGGCCCGAGCUUUCCCUCCCCACUACUUGGUGCGCUGCAGUCGGUCACUUACACGCAUACGGGUCCCUGUAAAUGAUAUACACGCACACAAUCGAUUCUCGCUGGCGCGCGGCGUUCCGAUUUUGAUCUUACGCGUCGAUCGAGAAACUGGCAAUUGUGUAGCUUGCGGGGUUGCGAAAAGCGCAUACAGAAAGUAAUCGAAUUAGCACUAGGUGAAUUUUUUUUAUUUCCCAAUUGUUACUGUCAAAAUAAGAACUAAGUAAUACAAUAUUAUCUGCAUCCUUAAUUAUAUCAUUCGAAUAAAAAAGUAAUUUUCAAUUUUUUAGUUCUGUCAUUCGAAUAAGAAAUUUAUUUUGAAACUCCUCAAUCUUAAUUUUUGAGUUAAAAACCCGUUUCUGAUUUUUAAUAUUAUGAUUCGAAUUCAAAAUUACACAUAUCAUUUUUCACUGAAAAUUUAAUUUCUAGUUUUAAUUCGAAGUUUUGGAAUUAAUUAAUUUGCGAUUCUGGUCUCAUAACUCGCAGUUUUCCAAUUACUUUUUUAUUCGAAUGAUGUAAUUAAGGAUGCAGAUAAUAUUGUAUUACUUAGUUCUUAUUUUGACAGUAACAAUUGGGAAAUAAAAAAAAUUCACCUAGUGCUAAUUCGAUUACUUUCUGUAUGCGCUUUUCGCAACCCCGCAAGCUACACAAUUGCCAGUUUCUCGAUCGACGCGUAAGAUCAAAAUCGGAACACCGUGCGCCAGCGAGAAUCAAAUCUUUCGAAAAUGGCAGACAGUAAAAUUGAUUCUGUGCCUGGAACAGAGUGGAUACUACAUAUUUGACAUCAUUUCAUUUUAUUUUCGACGUAAAUGAGAUCCAAAUUGAAAAAAAAAAAAAACCAAAAGACAAACCCCACGCACACGGAAUCGAACCCACGAGCCUCAUGCUAUGAAUCGGAACGCUUGCCGCUGCGCUGACCACUAUUUGUUCCACAUGUAAUCUUAAAAAGCUUGUGUACUACACAUAAAAUGUUUAAACAAUAAUAUCUGCAAAACGCUUGGCCAUCUCGUCUUUUUACUUGGCUCACUUUAAGUUCUAGUCGAGCCCAACAUAUACUGUGAAUUUGGCCGAAAUCGAUGACGACGAGUUCUCAACCUCCCCUUGGACCCGUAUGCGUGUAAGUGACCGACUGCAGCGCACCAAGUAGUGGGGAGGGAAAGCUCGGGCCGUCCGUGAGCCUUUGCAUGUGGUAAUCUCAUGUACGCGAGACCGCUCUGCGUGUGCGUAAAAUCGGGCAAUUUUUGUCAGCGCCAUCUACUAGUGGGGAGGCAAAGCUCUUGUAUAUAAGGAAAAG